UUUCCGUAGGUGAACCUGCGGAAGGAUCAUUAUUGUAUAACCGAGGUGCGAGGGCUGUCGCUGACCCGAAAGGUCGUGCACGCCCGAGUGCCCUCACACACAUCCAUCUCACCCCUAUAUGCACCACCGCGUGGGUCCCCCUUUGGCUUGUUCGGAGGGGGGCUUACGUUUUCACACAAACUUUGUAUGCAGUGUAGAAUGUAUUUUUUGUUUUUGCGAUCACGCAAUCAAUACAACUCUCAACAACGGAUCUCUUGGCUCUC
rnacentral:misc_RNA from 1 species